AACGCACCUUGCGCUUCCCGCCUCCGGCUGGAAGCACACUUCCUCCAGUGGCACCACCAACCCCCUCGGGUGCGCCUCGCGCGCAUUCGGAUCGUGGCCGCUGCUUUCAUUUCGCAUGAUGGCGCCGGCUGAAGGAUCGAGCGCCGCUUGAGGGCCGCGUGCGGACCGCGCUUGAAUGAGCGCGGUUCGGCCAAUGUGCUACCGGUUUGACGACCCUUGUCAUUGGUGUGAGCGCGGUCCCGACUGGCGCGAGUUGGGCGAGCGAUUCGUUCGCCGUCCGGUUCGUCCCUUAUUUCCAUCUUGCCAUGGAGUGACGUGAGGCUACCCGCUGAACUUAA
rnacentral:misc_RNA from 1 species